GACGAACGCUGGCGGCGUGCUUAACACAUGCAAGUUGAACGGAAAGGCCCUGCUUUUGUGGGGUGCUCGAGUGGCGAACGGGUGAGUAACACGUGAGUAACCUGCCCUUGACUUUGGGAUAACUUCAGGAAACUGGGGCUAAUACCGGAUAGGAGCUCCUGCUGCAUGGUGGGGGUUGGAAAGUUUCGGCGGUUGGGGAUGGACUCGCGGCUUAUCAGCUUGUUGGUGGGGUAGUGGCUUACCAAGGCUUUGACGGGUAGCCGGCCUGAGAGGGUGACCGGCCACAUUGGGUCUGAGAUACGGCCCAGACUCCUACGGGAGGCAGCAGUGGGGAAUAUUGCACAAUGGGCGGAAGCCUGAUGCAGCAACGCCGCGUGCGGGAUGACGGCCUUCGGGUUGUAAACCGCUUUCGCCUGUGACGAAGCGUGAGUGACGGUAAUGGGUAAAGAAGCACCGGCUAACUACGUG
rnacentral:rRNA from 1 species